GGCACUGUGGCGGAGUGGUUAACGCGACAGAUUCGAAUAGGGUCAUCGCCUGAUCACGACUUAUCUGUUCCAGUUUCUGGGCGCAUGUUCGAAUCAUGCCAGUGUCG